rnacentral:lncRNA from 1 species
UACAAAAAUUAGCCGGGCGUGAUGGCGCACGCCUGUGAUCCCAGCUACUCGGGAGGCUGAGGCACAAGGAUCGCUUUGAGCGCAGGGGUCAAGGCUGCAGAGACAAGGCUGUGAUUGCUCCACUGCAUGCCAGCCUGGGUGACGGGGCGAGCCCUUAUUUCGAAAAUAAUAAUAACGAUUCAAACGUUACUCCUUGGAGUUCUUCCGGUUGGCUUUUGUUUUACCAUUUGAAGCCACAGCUCAGUGGCAUGAAGCACGUUCACGUUGCUGUGCAGCUGUCACCUGCGUCCACCUACAGAAGAUUUCCACCCUCCCAAACAGAAACGCUGCCCCCGUGAAACACGGAUGCCCCGCCCCUCCCCUGGGCAGCCCCGCUCCGCUUGCUGUCCCCAUGGCUUUGAGUGCUCUAGGGACCCCAUGUCAGUGGGACAGACAGGAUCUGCCUGCCCCUCUGUGCCUGGCUCGUGUCACUCAGCGGAAGGUCCUCGGGGCUCAUACACGCGGUGGCACGUGGCAGGAUUUCCUUCCUCGCUAAGGCCUUAUUCUCUUUACGCAUCAUCUGUCAAUGGACACCUGGGACAUUAUUCGGUUUGGGGAGCAGUGGGCUCCCUAAUUUCUUAAGGUCGCGUCUCUGUUUUGCUGUCAGAUACUGGGAGAGCUGGGCUUGACUUUCUUUGCGUUUGCGGGAGGAAUGCCCCCCACGCCGCACGCCGCGCAGCUCGCUGGGCAGAGGCAGAGGCAGAGGCAGCAGCAGUACGACCCCUCCACGGGGCCUCCCGUGCAGAACGCCUCCAGCUUGCACACGCCGGGAGGCUGCCCCAGCCGGGGUCCGCGCUGCAGCGUCUUUGCAGGUCUCCCAGCAGCAGGCGACAGAGCCACAAGCACAGCUCUCAGUCCAGGGAAGGACCCAGCAGCCAAUCGCAGCGCCGCCACCUUUCCUGCCAGGCCGGCGCUCGCCACCAGGCAGGCUGUUUAGCUUGCGCUCCACCUCCCCACCCAGGAGCAGGCAGCUCCCCAGGCCCGCCAGCCUCUGCCUGCGGCACCAUCCCAGGAGAACCAGGUGCAUCAGCGCAUUGCGGAGCUGAGGAAAGCAGGUCUGUGGUCCCAGAGGCGUCUGCUGAAGCUGCAGGAGGCCCACGACCCAAGUCCCACUGGGACUAUCUGCUGGAGGAGAUGCAGUGGAUGGCCACAGACUUUGCCCAGGAGAGGUGGAAGGUGGCCUCUGUGAAGAAGAUGGUCAGAGCUGUGGCCCGGCAGCUGCAGGACAGGACGCGCAGGGAGGCCGGGGCCAGGAGGGAGGAGCCGAGCAGGCUGAGGCAGACGUCACCUGUACUACCAGAGAAAUCGAGCGUCCCUGGUCUAGUACUGCGCAGGUAAAGAUUCCAGCAUCUUGGAAGCAAGUGCUCCACUGGAAAAUAAAAGCCACGUGGAGCACUUGAUUAGACUCCAGAAACAGAAACUGCAGCUGCUCCCACCACCCCCACCACCACAGGCCCUGCCCGGGGCACAGCCAACCACACAAGUGCAAGUGCAGCCGUCACCCGCCUACCACAGCAGAGCCCCCAGCUCACCACAGUCACGGCCCCGAGACCCAGAGCCCUGUUGAUGGGCACCACCAUGGCCAACCUCCAGACUCGAGUUUCCACCUCCCACCUGCAAGGCCCAAGACUGACGUCAGCGCUGACGUACCAGAUGGCCCAGGUUGCUGUGGCCACGCCCCCUGUGGUGUCUGUCCUGGCAGUUGUGGUGCUGUCAGCCAGGGUCACAGUGCUUCCAUCAACGCAACGGGAUCAGUGUUGUGAUAAGGCAGCUGCAAAAAGCGGCAGUUGCAAAAGAUGGUGAAGAACUCAAGCUGAAGAGGUGUCUGCUGAAUUUUGUUGCUUCGGUAGGAGCUUUUCACCAUCAGUUUUUAGAAAGUACGCAUGACUCUCCUUCUGUUGAUAUCUCUCUUGAUUUGGCAAAGAGUACAAGGAGGACCGCAAAGGGUUGCCAUAUAAUCAUCACAAAUAGAUCCAGGGAUGCCAUAUCACGUCCUGUAGAGAGUCCUCAUUGCGACGCUUGCUCCACACAGCAUUCAUUCAUAUCAGCUGCAACUUGACACCCAAGGCACGGGAAACAAAACGUGCCACAGAGGCAGACUCCACAGUCGCUGAAGCAGUCACACAUGCCUGUCUGCCAGUUGGAGUUCUGGGGUGCCGGACCGAGACCGACUCCCACAACGACCAUCGGCGCCUCAUGUGUUAAUUUUUUAAGACACCUAAUUAGAGCCUCAUUCCUUGCACCUCCCCCUUUUAAGCAAAUGGAGCAGAGGCCGCUGUACCCCCCAGCAAGAGCUGCUUGCCUCUAUUAAGGGGAGAUGCGGCAUGGGCGUUAUUUCUCCUUUUUAAGGCAGCAGGCAUUUCCUUUACCAUCAUUGCCAGGCAGGUUACUCCUCUGAGCAAAUCAGCGGCAAUGAUGAGUGUGAGAUGCAGAUCCUUGUCCAUGCGCACUUCGUGUGUCCUGCGUGCUGUCUCUCUGCUGUCACCACAGGGGGCCAGAUUGGCUGUGCAGCCUCUGCACAUGCAGCAGCUCCGAAAGCUGAAACACCACCAGCAGUAAAAAGCUGUGCAGCCCUCAGCCGCUCCAGGCCUGCUGCUGCACAGCGGAAGGUAAGUGGCCGCUGGGCUUUGUGGGAGCUGCAUCUCACACUCAUCAUUCAGGGCCCUUAGGCCAGAGUGGGGCUGGACUGAGCCCCUUCCUUUUGGAGGCAGCCGUUAAACAGAGCUGAGGAGGCUCCCUGCAUGGGCUUCUGGAGGUGGGGAGGGGCCGAGUGUCAAGGAACUCUGACCCUGUAAUUUUUACAUAUAUUUGCUCUCUAGGGGAGAGCUUGCUUUGCUGUAUAGUAUAAUUUUUCAAAAAUAUUUACAAUGAUUUCUGUGAAAAAUCACUCUGACAAGGACUUCUAUUUCUGGUAAUAUGGUAGAUGAGAGAACCUGAAAAUCUAUCUCAACAAAACAUCUAAAAAUGCCAGAUUUUCAAAAAGUGCCAGAUAAAAUAUAUAAAACCGUGAAUGAGUCUGCAGGAUAGUGAGUCUAGAAACCAGGCGAGGGCUGAAGUCUAAGGAGGUAGUUCUGUGCUAAAGACACUCUAUGGCCUGGGUCCCCAUGGACCCAGAUGACCUAGAACUUUGAGGUAAGUUUGGGGAGCAGUCUGGAGAAGCCUUGGGCCCAGGGAGGGGCAGAACCAAAUUGGAGACCCCCAUAUAAGGCUGGGCUCACAGAGGGAUACAGCAAACACUACCAGGAAAUGAUGAAGUGGGCAAACUACUACUCUAAGCUUCACUGCAGAAACAGUAUCUCACUUGGCCAUGGCUGUGGAUGGAACAUCUUUAAAAAGUCUCUCCUAUAAAUUUAUGGCCCCUGGCUAGCACUCUCCAUCACAGGUAUAGGGCCAAAGUUCAUAUUAUUUACAUGUUCAAAAGAACUGCAAACUGUGACUUUUAAUUGCAAGCAUAUCUGGAGCUAUAGUGCCCCCAGGCCUCUGGUAGAAAGAAAUGUAUGUCCUUGCAGGAGGAACCCCCAACCCAGGCCUCAAGGAAUUCCAGCCAGCAGGAUCCCUAGACUAUAAGCUCAUAGUGGAAAAUCACAGCACACACAAGAGAAGGGGCCUCAGAAGUUAUGGCCAAAAGAAGCACACCUGCAAAGACUCAGAUGUUAGAAUAGGAAAUGCAAAUAUGUUUAAUGUGUUUGAAGAAACAAAGGAGAAGCUAAAAAGCAUAAAUAAGCAAGAGAGUAUCAGAGGCUAAGCAGAUAAUAAAUGAACCAAAUAGAACCUCUAAAAAUGAAAAAUGUAAUAAUUGAAAUUCAAAACUUAAUGGAAGUAAUCUUGAUCCCUACCUCACACCCCAUAGAAAAUUAACUCAAUGAAUCAUAGACCCAAACAUGAAAUUCAAAACUAUGAAACAUAGGAAAAAAGUUUUGUGACUAUAGGUUAAGUAAACAUUUCUUAGAUAUGACACCAAAAAUAGAGCCUAUAAAAGGAAAAAAAUUGGCAAGUCAUACUUUAAUAAAAUUAAACCUUCUUGCUAUGUGAAAACCAUUGUUUAGAGAAUGAAAAGACAAGUUACCAGGAGAAAACCUUUGCCAGUCAUGUAGCUGAUUAAGGACGUGUAACCAGAACAUACAAAAAACUGUCAAAGCUCACUAAUACAAAAACAACUUAUUUUGUACAGUGGGCAACAGAUUUGAGCAGACACUCCACCAAAGAAGCUCUCUAGGUGGCAAAUAAGCACUGUCCUCUGGGAAAUGCAAAUAAAAAUCACAAUGAGAAACUACUGCACACCCGUGAGAAUGCCUUAAAAAAAAAAAAGACAAGACCAAAACCAAGUGUUAGUGAGGGUGUGGAACAACAGAAAUUCUCAUACCUUGUUGGUGGGACUACAAGAUAGUGGAGCCCUCUGGAAUCAGUUUGGCAGUUUCUUAUAAAAUAAAACAAUCAUUUACUGUAUGACCCAGCAAUCCUGCCCCUCAUUCUUUAUACCAGAGAAAUGAAGACAUAUGUCCACACAAUAACCAAAUACUGUAACCACAAUGAAAAAUGAUGCAAGUGUUCACAGAAGCUUUAUUCAUUUACCUAAAACUGAAAGCAACCCAGACACUCUUCAACUGGCCAAUGGGUAAACAAACGGCAGCCCACCGGUUCCAUAAAACAGCACUCAGCAGGAGACAGGACUGGGCCACUGAUGCUGGGGGCAGCGGGGAUAAGCCUGAAAUGUCUUAUGCAGAGUGAAAGAGGCCACACUUAGAAGGCUGCAGUUUUUGUUUUUAUAUGACAUUCUGGAAAAGACAACACUAUAGCAACAGAGAAGAGCUCUGCAGUCACGAGGGGCUGGGGCAGUGGAAGGACUGACUUUCAGAGGGACAAGAGGGAAUUCUGGGGGGCUGUGGAAAGAUUCUGUAUCUUGAUGCUGAUGGUUGUUACAUGGCUGUGUGCAUUGAUCAAAACUGAAGUAUGCAUCAGAAACAGCGACUUGGACUGUAUGUAAAUUAUACUGCAGUUUUUUUGUUUGUUUGUUUGUUUGUUUGUUUGUUUUUGAGACGGAGUCUGGCUGUGUUGCCCAGGCUGGAGUGAAGUGAUAUUGGCUCACUGCAAGCUCCGCCUCCCAGGUUCACAUCAUUUUCUUGCCUCAGCCUCCCAAGUAGCUGGGACCACAGGUGUCCACCACCAUGCCUGGCUAAUUUUUUUGUAUUUUUAAUAGAGACAAGGUUUCACCAUGUUAGCCAGGGUGGUCUCGAUCUCCUGACCUUGUGAUCUGCCCGCCUCGGCCUCCCAAAGUGCUGGGAUUACAGGCGUGAGCCACCGUGCCCAGCCUAUACUGCAGUUUUAAAAAAGUUAAUGGAAGGGUUAAACAAUACAUUAGAGAAUUUGCGAGCUACAGAGAGAUCUGGAGAAAUAAUCAUGAUAGCAUGAGACUAGCAAACAAGACAAAGAAGACAGGCUGGCUGCAGUGCUCAGGCCUGUAACCCCAGCACUUUGGGAGGCCAGUGUGGGUGGAUUGUUUGAGCCAAGCAGUUCAAGACCAGUCUGAGCAACAGAGUGAGGCCCCGUCUCUGCAAAAAAAAUAAGAAAAGAAGAGGGAGGGGUGAGAAGAUCUCACAUUCAACUGAGUUCCAGAAGAGAAUGAAAAAAGAAAAUAUUCAAAGAGUGGAUGGCUGAGAAUUUUCCAGAAUGGGUUUAAUUUACCAGUCUAAAGACUGAAGAAAUACAACAAGUCCCUAGCAGGAUACAGACAAAGAUACCUGUGCCUGACACAUCUGGGCAAACUGUGGCACUCAAAGCAGAUGAGAAAACCAUGAAAGAAUCCAGGAGGAAAACAGAUUUCUCACGAAGGAAAGGCGAUUCCAUGGACAGCUCCCUUCUUAGUAGGAACUGUGGAAACCAGAAGUAGCUUUAAAGUGCUGGGAUAAAACUGUCUUUCAAGGAUAAGAGUGAAAACAAAGACAUACUCAGACAAAAACUGAAAACAUUUACCACAAACAAACUCACCUUAAGCAGGCAAAUGGCCCUCGAUGUGGAAAGCAAAGCUCAGGGGACAGAGGGUGUACUGAAGAGUUGGCGGUGAUGAUCCCUGGAGGGUCCCCCCAGGGCCAAGAAGGGGGCUGGGAGCCAUGCAUGGUGAGACUGGAGUGUGAGCUUGAGGACAGCAAGAAUCAGACGACCACCCCAGGCUGCCAGGGUGUGGCUCAGCCUAUCUGCCCCUCACGCUGAGCUGCACAGAUGCAAACACCUUCCAAACACAGUCACGAGGCCUUAGGAACGUCUCCAGAGCUUCCGUCAUCAUCCGGGUCUCCUCGUCAGCUGCUGCCUGGUGAGGGCUCUGCCAGAGGACAGCCCGCCAUCAAGGCUGAGGAGGCCGCCCCCACGUGCCACCCACGAAGCUGCCUGCAGGCCGGGAGGCUUCUCUUUUGGCUUCAGCCACAUGUGAAGGAGAACCUGUCAAGCUCCGGCUGAUGAAGUCUUCAGAAGGGCUCAGAGUCAAGCGGCAGAACUCCUGGUGCCAUCUGCUUAAUUACAGGCGCGGGUUUUCCUCGGUGUUUUGAUCUAUAAAUACGAAAAAUAAGAACAGCACCGGUGCUGAAUCUAUGUCAUCCCAUGAAUGGAUGAACUGGUUGAAAAAAAAAUAGCCUGAUACUGGGAGCCAAAAAGGCCGAAGGGAUCGUGACCAACUCAGCAUUCCACUGGAGGCUAUAUGAUCAAUCAGCAAACUGUUUAUCCUGAAUGUAGGAUGUGAGUAAAACUCACAGCUGCGCCUGCUGCCAGAAGGUUUGCUGAGGGCGGUCACUCCCUGGCACUGGGGUCCUUGAAGUUAUCUACUGGGAAAUCUAGCGCCUGUUGUUCGAAGGAUGCAGUCUCGCAAGCCUGCUGUGAACCAAACGGCGGACUGCCGAUUACCCGACAAUCACUGCACUUUGUCGCGAUCUCUUUUACCAAUAAAUACGGAGGGCUGUGUAAAGCUCUAUCUCUUUUACCAAUAAAUAUGGAGGGCUGUGUAAAGCUCAGGGCCCUUGUCCACUAGAGGCAAGGUGCCCCCUGACCCCUUCUUUCAAAUAUA